GCAAACUUGGUCAUUUAGAGGAAGUAAAAGUCGUAACAAGGUUUCCGUAGGUGAACCUGCGGAAGGAUCAUUAUUGAACAAACCUGGGAGGUUGAUUGCUGGCCCCUUGGGGCAUGUGCACACCUCUCAACUUUUGUCAUCCACCUGUGCACCUUUUGUAGACUCUCCUGGUGAUGUGAAGGGUCUUCUUGGCCCCUUGCAGAAGUCUGGUCUGCCUACGUCUUUUUUAAUACACACCUGAGAAGAAUGUCCUGAAUGUAUCUCAAUUGAUUGGCUUUUUGCCAGUUAUAAACUAAAUACAACUUUCAACAACGGAUCUCUUGGCUCUCGCAUCGAUGAAGAACGCAGC
rnacentral:misc_RNA from 1 species